GAUAGAGGGAUGUAUCAACAAUUCUUAGUUAAGAUAAUAACAUAUUUUAAUAUUGAAAAUGAGUAGACUAUUCCUUUAAGCCUAGUAUCUUUAGAACCCCAGUCAUGUUUUUGAAUGUUCGUGCAUCAUUUCCUGAGACAGGAGAAAUACAGAUUUCAGUGUUGCACUUUCUUCUUUCAAUGAUGUAAAAAUCAUCAUUUUGCAUCAUUGAAAGAAGGAAGUCCAAUAUCUUUGUUGAGGGGGUGAGACUACAAACACCCCUUUUUCAGUCAAAUAGGCACCAAAUUCGAAAUGUAUGUUACAUUUCCACUACAAAUAUGAGACACUUUCAAUAAAGAUUAAUGUUUCUACGGGUGAAAUGGUCCAUUAAAGCAGGGGUCCCCAGGAACAGGAUUGAGAACCACUGCAUUAAAGGAUAAUUCUGCCAUUUAACACUUUGAGUCUCAUUUCCAAGAGAAGUCAAUGGAACUUUACAAAAUGCCAAAUAAAACACGACAGAAACUGUAUUUUGCUACACUACUUGUUUUUAAUCAUCAACGAAAACCACAAACCACUCGGUUUUAAAAAUGAACGUUAAGUGUUGUUUUAAUGACAUGCUUGUGCAUGGCCCUUGACCUCCAUUCUGAAGCAGUCAAGAGACGCUUCUAAACAAGUCAAAAAGUCAAGACAUGACCCAUUGUCAAAAUUUCAGUGACCAACACUGUAGUUCAUCCAAAACAAACCAGAAAUGAGACUCAAAGUGUUUAAUACCGGAAUUAUUCUUUAAGAAUUUUUUCUUUAACAAAGCAUUCACAUAUUUUGACUAGUAUAUUAUACUUAUCUCGCAAAAGUUAGCUUGUACAGAACAAAGCAUUCACAUAACUUGUCUAGGUAAUUUACUAAUGCCGCAAUAGCUAGCCUGUCUGGAACCGAGCAUAUAUUAAAACACAACACUGUGUAACACUUGCAUUACAUGUGAAUGGCCCCUACACUAAUAGGAUUUUGUUUCUCUCUCCCUGUCUCGUCCUCAAACCCGAGGACAUUGAGACAAACGGACCAGUUCCGGCUGCCGUGGAGGUCAACACACCACUGAUCUACUGGCUGCCCUUCAACGUGAUGCCCAGCCGAUGCCUGACUACCGACGGAACCCGCUAAAUCUCCUUAUCCGUUUACAUCCCAUAUAUAUAUGUGUAUAUCUUUUCCUCCUAGGACUUUUUGUUCCUCCCUGAGGUUUUUCUCCUAGGGGUUUUUCAACCUCGGGGAGUCAACCAACAUUGGCUUAACUUAGCACCCUCUUUUAUACGAGACAUUAUUAAUUUGCUCGCUUGUAAAGUUUAUUCAUAGCCGCUGUAUUUUGCUACUUAUAUUGUCUGUUGAUUUUUCUAUGUUUCCCCUGCUUCUUUUAAUGUAAAGCUGCUUUGAAACAACUACAAAUUGUGAAAAGCGCUAUAUAAAUAAAAUUGAAAUGUCUCUUUCCUGUUUUACAGAUGCAGUGAGGGAGUGAUUUCCCAACAUCGAGGUGGCAGAGAUCCGGGACCUUCUACGGAGGAAGUGCAACAAUGCCAGUUACAAGGCCUCCAGUAGUUCAAAUCAGAGCUAGAUGUGCAUAUAGUACAAGUUGUUCGCAAUUGUUCUCUUCCCGGCAUUUCAAAGAAAGUCGACUGUUUAAGGUUCCCAUUUUGCCAAUAUCUGUUUUGUGUGUUACUUUUGUGUCAAUAAUAAAGAUCCUUUUUUGAAAUGCA